rnacentral:rRNA from 1 species
UACGGAGGGUGCAAGCGUUAUCCGGAUUCACUGGGUUUAAAGGGUGCGUAGGUGGGUCUGUAAGUCAGUGGUGAAAUCUCCGAGCUUAACUCGGAAACUGCCAUUGAUACUAUAGGUCUUGAAUUAUCUGGAGGUGAGCGGAAUAUGUCAUGUAGCGGUGAAAUGCUUAGAUAUGACAUAGAACACCAAUUGCGAAGGCAGCUCACUACGGAUAUAUUGACACUGAGGCACGAAAGCGUGGGGAUCAAACAGG